rnacentral:tRNA from 1 species
GGAGAAAUACCCAAGUCUGGUUGAAGGGACCGGUCUUGAAAACCGGGAGGUCGGGUAACCGGCGCGGGGGUUCGAAUCCCUCUUUCUCCGCCA